AUUGAACGCUGGCGGCAGGCUUAACACAUGCAAGUCGAGCGGAGAUGAGGUGCUUGCACCUUAUCUUAGCGGCGGACGGGUGAGUAAUGCUUAGGAAUCUGCCUAUUAGUGGGGGACAACAUUCCGAAAGGAAUGCUAAUACCGCAUACGCCCUACGGGGGAAAGCAGGGGAUCUUCGGACCUUGCGCUAAUAGAUGAGCCUAAGUCGGAUUAGCUAGUUGGUGGGGUAAAGGCCUACCAAGGCGACGAUCUGUAGCGGGUCUGAGAGGAUGAUCCGCCACACUGGGACUGAGACACGGCCCAGACGACUACGGGAGGCAGCAGUGGGGAAUAUUGGACAAUGGGCGGAAGCCUGAUCCAGCCAUGCCGCGUGUGUGAAGAAGGCCUUUUGGUUGUAAAGCACUUUAAGCGAGGAGGAGGCUACCUGGAUUAAUACUCUAGGAUAGUGGACGUUACUCGCAGAAUAAGCACCGGCUAACUCUGUGCCAGCCGCCGCAGUAAAAC
rnacentral:rRNA from 1 species